rnacentral:snoRNA from 1 species
AAUCCAUGGUGAGGACAUCUUCUCAUCAAAUCCUUAUACCUCUCCCAAGCCUCAUAUAAUGAUUCAGAAUCAAAUUGCAUGAAAGAAGUGACAUCAUUCCACAUCUU